UACGGGGGGGCAAGCGUUGUUCGGAAUUACUGGGCGUAAAGGGCUCGUAGGCGGCCAACUAAGUCGGACGUGAAAUCCCUCGGCUUAACCGGGGAACUGCGUUUGAUACUGGAUGGCUUGAGUUUGGGAGAGGGAUGCGGAAUUCCAGGUGUAGCGGUGAAAUGCGUAGAUAUCUGGAGGAACACCGGUGGCGAAGGCGGCAAGUCC
rnacentral:rRNA from 1 species